rnacentral:lncRNA from 1 species
CUUCCAAAAUAAUACACAAUCAUAUUUGCAAGCAUGAAUGCACUCAUACCCCAAUCCCAAAUCUUGUAAGAUCUUUUUAGCCUCAUAAUGUGACUUUGGGAGCAUUGUACCUUCAAGAAAAGCAUCAUUCAACAAUUCAAGUAACAUAUCAAAUGAUUUGUUACUCCAAUGAUUAUUUACCUUUAUAUAAAGCAACUUCACA